rnacentral:rRNA from 1 species
AGCGAACGCUGGCGGCAGGCCUAACACAUGCAAGUCGAACGGAUCCUUCGGGAUUAGUGGCGGACGGGUGAGUAACACGUGGGAACGUGCCCUUUGGUUCGGAACAACUCAGGGAAACUUGAGCUAAUACCGGAUGUGCCCUUCGGGGGAAAGAUUUAUCGCCAUUGGAGCGGCCCGCGUCUGAUUAGCUAGUUGGUGAGGUAAAGGCUCACCAAGGCGACGAUCAGUAGCUGGUCUGAGAGGAUGAUCAGCCACAUUGGGACUGAGACACGGCCCAAACUCCUACGGGAGGCAGCAGUGGGGAAUCUUGCGCAAUGGGCGAAAGCCUGACGCAGCCAUGCCGCGUGAAUGAUGAAGGUCUUAGGAUUGUAAAAUUCUUUCACCGGGGACGAUAAUGACGGUACCCGGAGAAGAAGCCCCGGCUAACUUCGUGCCAGCAGCCGCCGUAACAC